UGAAUACGAGACGCUACGGCGUCGAAGCAGUCUAUGUCAUACUUCCAAGAAAAGCUCGCAAUGUCAUAAACAAAUAAUGCCUGUACCAUAACCGACACAGGUGGGUAGGUAGAGUAUACUAAGGGGCGCGAGAUAACUCUCUCUAAGGAACUCGGCAAAAUGACUCCGUAACUUCGGGAGAAGGAGUGCCUUAUUUAUAAGGUUGCAAUAACAAGAUCCAAGCAACUGUUUAUCAAAAACACAGGUCUCCGCUAAGUCGUAAGACGAUGUAUGGGGGCUGACGCCUGCCCAGUGCCAGAAGGUUAAAGAAGUUGGUUAGCAUUUGCGAAGCUGAUAACUGAAGCCCUGGUGAACGGCGGCCGUAACUAUAACGGUCCUAAGGUAGCGAAAUUCCUUGUCGGGUAAGUUCCGACCCGCACGAAAGGCGUAAUGAUUUGGAUACUGUCUCGGAGAGGGGCUCGGUGAAAUAGACUUGUCUGUGAAGAUGCGGACUACCUGCACCUGGACAGAAAGACCCUAUGAAGCUUUACUGUAACUUGAAAUUGAAAUUGGACUUUAUUUGCGCAGCAUAGGUGGGAGGCGUUGAGAGUAUUCUUGCGGGAAUAUUGGAGCCAUCAGUGAGAUACCACUCUUGUAAUGUUAGAUUUCUAACUUUGUAUCAUUAUCUGGUCAAAGAACAGUUUCAGGCGGGCAGUUUGACUGGGGCGGUCGCCUCCCAAAUGGUAACGGAGGCGUACAAAGGUUUCCUCUGAACGGGUAGAAAUCGUAUCUAGAGUGUAAAGGCAUAAGGAAGCUUGACUGUGAGACCUACAAGUCGAGCAGGGACGAAAGUCGGUCUUAGUGAUCUGACGGUGCUGAGUGGAAAGGCCGUCACUCAACGGAUAAAAGUUACUCUAGGAUAACAGGCUGAUCUCCCCCAAGAGUUCACAUCGACGGGGAGGUUUGGCACCUCGAUGUCGGCUCAUCGCAUCCUGGGGCGGUAGUACGUCCCAAGGGUUGGGCUGUUCGCCCAUGAAAGCGGUACGCGAGCUGGGUUCAGAACGUCGUGAGACAGUUUGGUCCAUAUCCGGUGUAGGCGUUAGAAUAUUGAGAGGAGCCUUCUUUAGUACGAGAGGACCGAGAAGGACAUACCUCUGGUGUACCAGUUAUCGUGCCAACGGUAAACGCUGGGUAGCUAUGUAUGGAGAGGAUAACCGCUGAAAGCAUCUAAGUGGGAAGCCCACCUCAAGAUAAG
rnacentral:rRNA from 1 species